rnacentral:lncRNA from 1 species
ACAGACACAGAGCUGGCUUCCUUUCAGGGUUCUCCAGCGGUAGCCCAGCAGGGACACACAGAAGUGAGACUCGGCUUGCCCCGGGGCAGCUUUUCUGAGCCACAGGAACUAUUUUACAUUGCCGAAGUUGCAGUACACUAACGCCAGAGAGCGACCGCCCGGGUCCGAGAGUACCAGGGGCCCAGCGUGGGACAGUGGCGCGCGGGAACCCGUCGUGCCCAUUUUUAAUUAUACCGCAACAGCAUGCUAAUCCGGAAGACUCACAGAAGCAUCUUUUUCUAGCUCCGAGGGACUAUCGCCUGCCUUGCUUCACGGUUCCUUCCCUCUAUCAUCCAUACCUGCUGCCGGGGACCACACACUGCCCUUCCCUUGCUUGCAUCCCUGACUUCUCUGGUUCUCAGUGCCUCCUCUAAGGAUCCUCAUGCUUAGACUGGGCUCCACUGGACAGUAUCUCUAUUUUCUGACCCAACCAUCGGUAGCCUUAAUUCCCCUUGCGGCUUUCUAUUUCCCUGAUACCAUGUAAUCCGGAACUCACAGGUUUCUGGAAUUAGGAUUUGAAUCUUUGGAGGGAGACAGGAAGCUGCUUUUGUCAACAACUUGAAGGUCAAAGACAGAGUCUCAAGGGAAAUGUAAAAGGCAUCUCGCCAAGCUGAGUGGAAAUGAAAAUAUAGGAUUCCAAAAUUAUGAGUUCUUAGAAGGGACGGUGUA